rnacentral:lncRNA from 1 species
GGAAAGGCUGGGUGGAUGGUGGCGUCAGUUGGAACAACACAAACGUGCCUAAUGCCACUCAGCUGCACACUCAAAAUGAUUAAACACUGAGUUCUGUUAUGUGCGUUUUACCACAAUAAGAGUAGCAGAUUACACUAUUUUCCAUCUCGUCUAUUUUUCUUAAAAUGCCUUUCUCAUAGAUCUUUGCUGGGAUCCCUGAACUUUUAAGGAGCAGGUAAUUCCUGAUUUCAUACAGGUUGUUCCAGAAGUAGAAGAGCACGCAGCUGAGCGUCUCUUCUGCAAGCCUCCUGUAGCUGGAUGCCACAGCACGAGCAGCUCAACUGACUGAUGGACCAGUGUCUACUGGAAAGUGAAACUAAUGAGUCUCAAACUGAUAAAAAUUGACCAAAACAACACGUUGUGAUUCCAUGGGCUGCCUCGGAAUUAUCAAGAUGGUUCCACAGUAGGAAAUUUACUACUUACCCCAUUGAAGAUCUAAGAGAAGCCGUGAUCAUCUCAAGAGAUGCAGGAAGAGCAUUUGAUGGAACUAUGUACAAUUAAAACCUGGGAGAGAAGGGAACUGUCAUUUCAUGUUGAUGAAUCCAUUUGCCAAACACCUACGUUAAGCUCACUGUUUGGGAAAGACGGAAAACAAAACAGGGCUCGCUAUUUAGAAACAGACUGACAGUGCCAAGAGUUGAGACAGUGGCCCUGGAGAGAGGCCCUGUCUCCCCGCCUCGCAGCUGACAAACUCGGAGGCUGUUCUCCACCUUCCCCCAUUGUAAGUCCUGC